rnacentral:lncRNA from 1 species
GUACAGGAUCCUGAAACCGCUGCUUGAUCGUGGCUUCAAAGUGCUUGCAGUUACGCCAGACAUGCCAUUUCUGCUCAAGAAUACACCAGCUGAAGCUUGGUUUGAUGCUAUCAAGAGUGGGAAAAAGGACCCUGGUGAGAUUCCACUGGCUCAGAAUCUUUCUAAUUUAAUGAGACUUGCAGUUUUGUAUAAGUAUGGAGGGGUUUACCUGGACACGGAUUUCAUCGUCCUGAAAAGUUUCAAAGGUCUGAAGAAUACAAUCGGAGCACAAAGUAUCCAUGCCGAGUCCAAGAACUGGACAAGAUUGAACAAUGCAGUUCUGGUCUUUGACAUGAACCAUCCACUCCUAUUCAAGUUC